GUUGCGGUUGAAAGCUCGUAGUUGGAUUUCUGCGGAGGAAGCGCGGUCCGCACUUGGUGCGUGUAUCUGGUCUACCUACGCAUCUUCCGGUGAAACGCUACUGCCCUUUAUUGCGUGGCGCGGCAAUCUGGACUUUUACUUUGAGGAAAUUGGAGUGUUUACAGCGAGCGAUUGGUUUCAACAUAUUAGCAUGGAAUAAUAACCUAGAACCUUGGUUCUAUUUUGUUGGUUUCUAGACUAGGGUAAUGAUCAAUAGGGAUAAUUGGGGGCAUUUGUAUCAACACGUCAGAGGUGAAAUUCUUGGAUUGUGUUACGACGAACCACUGCGAAAGCAUUUGCCAAGGAUGUUUUCAUUGAUCAAGAACGAAAGUGCAGGGAUCGAAGACGAUUAGAUACCGUCGUAUUUUUCACCGUAAACUAUGCCGAUUAAAGAUUGGAGGUCGUUCUUAUUGUGGCUCCUUCAGUAAUUUAUGAGAAAUCAAAAUUCUUGGGUUCCGGGGGGAGUAUGGUCGCAAGGCUGAAACUUAAAGGAAUUGACGGAAGGGCACCACCAGGAGUGGAGCCUGCGGCUUAAUUUGACUCAACACGGGGAAACUCACCAGGUCCAGACAUAGCAAGGAUUGACAGAAUGACAGCUCUUUCUUGAUUCUGUGGGUGGUGGUGCAUG
rnacentral:rRNA from 1 species